AGCGAAAGCAGUGGCAAGAUGGCGUCCCUGGAUCGGGUGAAGGUACUGGUGUUGGGAGACUCAGGUGAGCGGCUAAACCCUCCUCUGUGGCUCCCGACACUUUUCAGUUACCCAAUACCUCUCACCCUUCACUGCUGUCCCCAGCUUCCUGGCUUUUCGGUCUGUAGCUGAGUUCCCUUUCGGAGCCUAAAGACUACACUUCCCAGAGGACUUUGCUCCAUUUGAAGAAUCGCCGUCGUCGCGUGGUGGGGGGCUGGUAGUGGAGUUAGCGCCUUGGUCUGCGGUUGCGGUUUUCCACGUCCGGCUUCCGAGCGACCGCUGCUUAAGAGAAUUGCUUUAUUUAAAAUAAUAAUAAUUUUUUUUAUCAAUUGACUUACUUUAAAAAGUGCUGGCGCUGUUAUUUUAUUGGGAGCCGUGUAAGGGUACAGAAGUUAGUAGGACAGUGCCUUCAGGAUAUUUUGUUAAGUCUGACGUGCACCAAGAAUGACACUGGCGAGCGCUUUGGUAUAUUAAUUCAUUUAAUUCCAAGAUUAGUCCUUUGACCCCAUUAUAGAGGAGAGAAAGGCGAGUAGCAGAGUUGUAAAUGACAACUGGUUUGAACCCACGAGCUUAAACACAUAUGUUACGCAAUGAAAUAGUGAGUGGUAAUCCUAUUUCACUCUUAAUCCAAAAAUGGAUUUCCAUAUUCUCAUUUAAUCUUAACUGAAAAACCUAUUAUGUUCUGAAUUGUAGGAAAUAGAGAAAUUAAGAUGAAGGCCACACUCAAAAGUGACUAGGACUUAAUCCUGAGCCUAACUUAAUCCUAGUGUUAAAAUACUUCUUUUGACUCCCUGGACAUUUGAAAACUACCUUUGAAAUCUGCACCAUCGCUCCAACUGGACCCCGCAACCUUACUCUCUUUCCCACAUAACCUACGACUCUCCUAAAAACUUGAAUAAAUGCUGUUAUAGAUGUGCUUUUCUGGAUUUGAUCUUUGUGUGCUGUAAGCAAUGACAUUGUGUUACAUGCUUGGAGACAAAGAGGACAUACCCCAAAGAGCUUGAAAGCUAGCCUUACAGAGAGUAUAUCAAAUUAUGGUGGGAGAGGAACAUCGUCACAUUGCAUGGGAACAUUUGCAAUUCAACAUAUCUUACAAAAAGUAUUAUUUAAUAUUCCUCAAAUAUUAUUUAAUAUUCCUGCAUUAUGAAAAUCUAUAAAUAUAAUCCCAAUGUAUGUCAAUUUCAUUUCUUUUAUUGUGGAGCUUAAAAUGACAUUAAGUCAAUAAAAUCACUUGGUGUAACUGAUGAAGAAAGUAAUGGUGGCCUAAAGGGACUUGGCAAUACUCAUCAUCAAAUACAAUUUAAGGCUAGAAUCCAGAGUUAACACAGAUCUUAAUGGUGUAUAAAGUAGAUGUUCUUUCUACUAAGUAAUUCCAUUUUCUAUUGUAUCUAGCAGUCCCUUCAUGUUACAUGCUAUUGGAGUUAGUUUAUUUAUUGUGUUUUUCAGUAGGUAUAUUGUAUUAGAUGCUGGGAUUAUAACUGUAGAAUCAGUGCAUUGCAAUAACAGGUAGAAUUGGCCACUGCAUUAAAUGUGGAAAAGUAGUCAGGCAGUUAGUAAGUUUUCCCUCCACCCACCCCAUUUUUCAUUAGUUUUAAAAGAGACAUCAGGGCCUGCAUAAUGCCCACCUGGAAGGUGAUUGAUCCUGUCACACAUUCACUAUUUGGUUUUAUGUGCAAAGUCGGUUAUUGUCUUUUUAUCAGUUUCCUCUUAACAGUGAUUUUCUAAUUAACAGGUCAGAAUACACACUUUGCACUUCAUGUUCAGACUUCAAAGUUAAUUUUGAAUAAAAGGUUUAUUUCCUUUGUGAACUUUUGAGAGUUUUUCAAAUACAUAAAGGAAUGACUUGAGAUUCGGAGACUUCUUUUGUAUCCUACAGACAGAAAUAUUUGAUAAUCUAUUAAGAAUCAUGAAAGACUUAAUAACAUAAACAUACUGUUUUCUCUUUGUUCUUUCAGAGAUUAGGGAUGAGCUUAAUACAUUACCAACAACUGUAUUUGGAGCUGACAUUUAUUUGAUUAUAUUGGGCCUUUUUUCCCCAAAAGCAAAUCAAGUUUAUUCUUUUGAUCUAAUUUACUUCAACGACAGAAAUAUAGAAUCAGAACCUCCUAAAAUUCUCAAAAUAAAUAAAUAAUUGGCCUCUAUGCCUAGCACUUCAGCCUUUCCUAACUAUUAGUUUCAUCCAUUGUCACUAAUACUUACCACCUAAAGCUGUUUGUUCAUGGAGAGAUAUACAAUAUUACUGCAUAGAGAUAUUUACCCUGACACAGUAAAGCUAAACUAGGACUUAAGCCUUGCAUGAAGCUGAUAACUAAAUGCCUUGAUAUGUGCUCCAACAUAAACAUAUGUAAACACAAUGUUAACAAUAUGCCCUAAAGAUUAACGAUAACAUGCAAUUCAGUAAUGAACAUAUGCAAUGAAAUGAAGUUUGAGUACUCAGAAAUCUUAAAUGCUGAUAUGUUAAAAAAGAAGAAAAAAAGAAAACCUUGGGAAAUUUUUCAAUUAUAUUAGAUUAUUAAUAUCUUUAGUGCAUAAAGAGGUCAUAUAAAUUAAUACUAAAACCCAGUAGAUAAAUGGGCAGGGGAAAGAUGAACAGAGAUGAUCAUAAUUUAUAUCUUUCCCAGAAAGUAAAGCAGACUAAAGCAAGUCUCAGGUUUUUUUUCUCUUAUCAAAAUAGCAAAGAUAAAGAAAAACAGCUACAUGUUCAUAUGUGUGACUGGUGACAGUGUAAUCAGAUGAAAGUAAUUUGCCAACAUGUAUUAAGAACUUUUAAUUUUUUUCCCUUGUACAUGUUGAUGUUCUUGGAAGACAUACCAAGGAAAUAAUUUUAAACAAAUGUUUAAAUAGAAAUAAAAACUUAGUGUAGUGAAAUUUUUUAAACACACUAAAUCUAUAAUAAUGAUAGAAUAGUUAAAUAAAUCAUUAUAUCUACUGUAUAAAGUACUAUGGAAAUAUUUAAAUGUUUAUGAAGAUUCUAUAACAACUUGCAAAUUGUCCCCUACCAUGAUAUGGGGAUUAAACCCGGAGGUGCUCUAUCCACUAAGUUAUACCCCCAUCCCUUUUUAUUUUUUAUUUAUUAAUAUACAGGGUCUUGCUAAGCUGCUAAGGCUGGCCUCCCAGUUUGAUGCUUAAAGAGCACUUAAUGUAUCACAGACAUAAUACAACCAUACCCAUUCACAUAGAAACUUUUAGUCAAUAAAUACUGAUUAAGGCCCUGUUUUGAGUACUGUCGAUUAAAAAAAAAAGGAGUAAAACCCAGCCCCAACACUCAAGGAACUUAAACAGUGAGUAAAACCUAGAAAUAAGAGUAAAACUGUUUAAAGUGCCCUAUAGGAAAAUAUACUGGGUAGAGUGGAAGUGCAUUGGAUGGUGUGCUUAGUUCUACCUGUAUGGAGUCAUAAAAUACUUUUUAGAAUGUUCCUGAGUCUUGAAAGAGUAAUUGACCAGGUCAGUGGGGGAGGAGAGAGAGGAUGGAUAGGCUGUUUGUGGUAGAGCAAGCUAUGUAAGCAAAGGCUUAUGAUAUUUGUAUUAUUUUAAAGUAUACCAUGCAUAUCAUCACAAUAGAAGGAAUAAACAUAAGUGAUGGAUUUAUACAUAAUAAUUCACACAGAGAUGAUCUAAAUCAUUGAGGUAGCUAGUGAUUCAUAAAGAUUCCCCAACUAUACCUGUCAUAAUGGAAUCCCAAAAUGCUUUUAAAUGAAUGAGUGACUCCAAAGAGGUAUAGGGGAGUGUUCAUUCCCUUUCUUCAUACAGAUCUCCCAAGUGCCACCCUUAGCAUUAAUAAUUAGAUUGCCUUAAGACUGAAGGAGAUCUAAAAUGAGAUAAAAUGCUGCUUCAAAGUAAAAGACCAUGAUGUAGAAGAAAUUAGAGUUGCUCUUUUGAUUCAAAGGGUAAAUUUGUGCUGCUUUUAAAAAAUCACUAACUGGGAGAAUUGGAGUGCCUGAAAAUGGAUUUGUUAGAUGGUAAGUCCUGCUUACUGACAGCAUUCAGUAACAGGGUAACAGGGUGCCAUGAAAGGGACCCUACCUCAUCAUGGGUGUACAGGGUAGAUGGAUUACCUCUAAAAUCUGUUAACAUUCUGCAAUCCUAAAAUAGGCUGAGUAGAUAGUCAAAUAUUUACCAGGAAAGGGGUUAGUUAUUAUGAAAUUGCCCUACUCCAGUGGUUCAAAGUGAAGCUCCCAGACUAGUAGCAUCAGUAUCACCUGAGAACAUGUUAGAAAUUUAAAAAUCCUGGAUGCUAUUAUAGACAUGCUAAAUUGGAAAGCCUGGGACCAGGAUCCAGCUCUCUGAUUUUGAUGCUAAAUUGAAAAGGAUCACUGCCCUUAACUAUCUUCACUUUCAUUCUUAUUUCAAGCUUAUAUCAUUGAUAUGAUCUGAACAUACCUUUAAACAUAUUGCACUUUAAAUACCAUUAUUACUGCAUAUUCUUAUUCUUACUUUGAACAUAGAGAUUUCAGUAUGUCUUUCAUAUUACUAUAGUUCUUGUAUCUUUUCCAGGUGUUGGAAAAUCUUCACUAGUCCAUCUUCUCUGCCAAAAUCAAGUGUUGGGAAAUCCAUCAUGGACUGUGGGCUGCUCAGUGGAUGUCAGAGUAUGUGUCUCUUAUGUUUUAUGUUUUUAGUAGUCAUACU
rnacentral:lncRNA from 1 species